rnacentral:tRNA from 1 species
GAGGAGGUGACUCAGUGGUAGAGCAUAGUCCUGGCAUAUCUGAGGUCCCAGGUUCGAUCCCUGGCAUUGUCA